rnacentral:rRNA from 1 species
UACGUAGGGGGCAAGCGUUGUCCGGAAUCAUUGGGCGUAAAGCGCGUGUAGGCGGCCCGGUAAGUCCGCUGUGAAAGUCCAGGGCUCAACCCUGGAAUGCCGGUGGAUACUGUCGGGCUCGAGUCCGGAAGAGGCGAGUGGAAUUCCUGGCGUAGCGGUGAAAUGCGCAGAUAUCAGGAGGAACACCGAUGGCGAAGGCAGCUCGCUGGGACGGUACUGACGCUGAGACGCGAAAGCGUGGGGAGCAAACAGG